AUGACGUUUAUGCUGAAGAAGAAACGCUACAAAUUUCACGUGGAAUUGUUUCUCCAAGAGUUAACCGCCGUUACCUUCCCGAGUGCCGUUCUCUUUGCCAAGUUGCGGCUGCUGGACGGCGGCAAUUUCUGCGAAAUGUCUUCCAGAGAGGAAGUGCAGCAGCACACUGUGCGUUGGGCGGCGAAAUUCCCGUUUGUUUGCAAAAUGUCGGCCAAUGCAUCCACAGGCGUCCUGGAGCCUUGCCUUUUACGGAUAUCCGUCCGAAAAGAAGUUAAAGGAGGUCGGUCUCACCAGAAACUUGGAUUUGCCGACUUGAAUUUGGCCGAAUUUGCCGGUUCCGGUUCCACAUUGCGCCGUUGUUUGUUGGAGGGUUACAACAAGCGACACCGCCAGGAUAAUUCUAUCCUGAAAGUCACCAUUCUCAUGACGCUCUUGUCAGGCGAUCCUUGCUUCAAAGUGCCAACACCACGACAUAUGUCAAUUCCGGUGAAUUCGCCUGUCAACAACUUGUUAAUUUUGGAUAGAUUAAUGUCUUCAAAUGUUGGUGGCGGACCGGAAACUUCAGACCUGGAUGUCAAUGGCGGUCUGCAAAACGUCCAGGAGCCGCAUAGAGACUCGGAAACGUUUCUCGGUUCUUCGCUGCCGGCGUUGAACGUCUUGGUCGAUUUGCUUCCAGGACACUUGACGGAUUCUUCCGAAUCACAGCACAGCCGGCGGUCCAGCUUAGGGGAGUUGGGACAUUUCAGAUUUCCGUCCUGGCCAGUCUGGUCUCCGCGCUUAUCCAAGCAGCGUUUGCCCCAGCCUCUCCCCGUUAUCGCACCGUCCGUCACACUCUUACCGGCCGACGGACCUGUUUCGAACACUUCUUCCGGCAACGGCGGAGUCCGCAUUGGCAGUGAUGGACCGGAAACGAGCCGAGAUCAAACGAGUUCACUUUCGCACAGUAAUAGGAGGCCCACCAGUCUGUUGUCCGUUGGACGGCCGCAGCCGCUUGGUCUAACAGCCUUGAAAUCUCCUUCACCUUCUGACGUUCCGCUCCGUUUACUCAUUCCGCCAGCCACGGUUACCGCCGUCAUCCUUCCAUCCCCGCAUGAAAGUAGUUUAAGACAUUCCAGGAAUCCGAGCAACGGGUCGGGAUUCAGCGACACGGGGUCGACGGAACGUCCUAAAACCGCCGGCAGUGUCAUUGGAGUUGCUGGAACAGGUCAGGCUACCGGCUCGUCGUCGUCUUCUUCAGCCACCAACACUUCGACAUCCUCCACCGGCACGGUCGACAAGCGCAAAAAGUUAGAAGAGAGAAUCGACGCCAGACAAGUGAUUGAUGAUCUCAUCAAAUCGGUCAACCUGGAAAACGACGUCAACGCCGUGUCUGGUUUACAACUGAGAGACAUCACCAAAACGCACAAGAUUAGCUGAAGGGGGCAGAACUUUGAACGAUUCCUCUUUGGCUCGUUCAAUAUAAAAGGGCUACUCCUUUUCCAGCCUCCUCACUCCUUCCUUACUAUUGGAUCGGCUUGUCCUGUUCGACUAACUUUAAGAAUGAUGAAAGUAUUGAUCGCCCUUGCUUCGCUGUUGGCCCUGAGUGCCGGUCAGCUCAACACCUUGACCAACACGCAAGAAUUGGAUCCGGCUGGUAACUUCCGUCUGAAUUGGGAA